UACGAAGGGGGGCUAGCGUUGCUCGGAAUCACUGGGCGUAAAGCGCACGUAGGCGGAUCUUUAAGUCAGGGGUGAAAUCCUGGAGCUCAACUCCAGAACUGCCUUUGAUACUGGAGAUCUCGAGUCCGGAAGAGGUGAGUGGAACUCCGAGUGUAGAGGUGAAAUUCGUAGAUAUUCGGAAGAACACCAGUGGCGAAGGCGGCUCACUGGUCCGGUACUGACGCUGAGGUGCGAAAGCGUGGGGAGCAAACAGG
rnacentral:rRNA from 1 species